UACGUAGGGGGCAAGCGUUGUCCGGAAUCAUUGGGCGUAAAGCGCGUGUAGGCGGCCCGGUAAGUCCGCUGUGAAAGUCCAGGGCUCAACCCUGGGAUGCCGGUGGAUACUGUCGGGCUCGAGUCCGGAAGAGGCGAGUGGAAUUCCGUGGUGUAGCGGUGAAAUGCGCAGAUAUCAGGAGGACACCGGUGGUGUAGACGGACUCAGCUGGACCAUACUGACGCUGAGACACGAAAGCGUGG
rnacentral:rRNA from 1 species